GCUGGGUGCAGUGGCACAUGCCUGUAAUCCCAGCUGCUCAGGAGGCUGAGGCAGGAGGAUGCUGAGUUCAAAACCAGCCUCAGCAAAAGUGAGGUUCUAAGCAACUCAGUGAGACCCUGUCUCUA
rnacentral:sRNA from 1 species